CCGUUAAUUCCUGAACGGUUUGCUCCAUUUGAAAAAUUCAACAGUUUCUGAAAGCUGAGACCUUGUGCUUUCUUGUCAAUAUCGGGUCAUUACGGUAAUCUCCCCUGGAAGCCCGCGAGGAGCUCUUUUGUUUACCAGUGAGACAGAUGGAGCGGUGGACAGAUGCAGAGAGUGGAGUGGCCAAAAAGUUUUCAUAACAGCAAAAAAAAAAAAAUGUGUGAAAGACGACCAUCCAGGGAAAUAUAACCUUCACGGAGGUUCGGAGAAGACUUUGAGACCAAGGGAGCAACAGAAGGAGUCAUUUCGGGUGAGAAAGUUUCCUGUGGGCUGCAGCGGAUGAAGCUGGAGGACCACAGAGGAGAAAACACGAGGAUGCUGGUGAUGAGGCCAGAGACCAAAGCUGCUCACCACAUCAACAACAGUAGGGAGGCUGUAGCGCUGAGCAUCUGAGUCGCGUGACGGAACUGUUGAGCAGCUGGGCGCGCUGUGUCGGACAUUUGAUGUCGAUGCACGCACUUCAUUCAGGAAAAGCACCAGUGAGAUACAGGGUCGGUAGUGCGUGUGAAGCAUGUCUACCUGUGCACGUUUGUAAUCCAUCUGUAGGAGAGGCAGCCGGUAAGAGUGACUCUGUCUGAGCGCUAGAAUGACCACGAUCGCUUACUUCCUGUUUGAUCGGUGUCCUGUGGGAACGAGGCUCACGCUUCG